UACAGAGGGUGCGAGCGUUUGUCCGGAAUCACUGGGCGUAAAGGGCGCGUAGGCGGCCCGGUAAGGUUGCGGUGAAAGCCCGGGGCUCAACCCCGGGUCGGCCGGUGGCAACUGCUGGGCUGGGAGCACAGUAGAGGCGGGUGGAAUUCCGGGUGUAGCGGUGGAAUGCGUAGAGAUCCGGAAGAACACCAGUGGCGAAGGCGGCUCACUGGCCCGAUACUGACGCUGAGGCACGAAAGCGUGGGGAGCAAACAGG
rnacentral:rRNA from 1 species